rnacentral:rRNA from 1 species
CAAUAAGCGGAGGAAAAGAAACUAACAAGGAUUCCCCUAGUAACUGCGAGUGAAGCGGGAAAAGCUCAAAUUUAAAAUCUGGUAGUCUCUGGCUGCCCGAGUUGUAAUCUAGAGAAGCGUUAUCCGCGCUGGACCGUGUAUAAGUCUCCUGGAAUGGAGCGUCAUAGAGGGUGAGAAUCCCGUCUUUGACACGGACUACCAGGGCUUUGUGAUGCGCUCUCAAAGAGUCGAGUUGUUUGGGAAUGCAGCUCUAAAUGGGUGGUAAAUUCCAUCUAAAGCUAAAUAUUGGCGAGAGACCGAUAGCGAACAAGUACCGUGAGGGAAAGAUGAAAAGAACUUUGGAAAGAGAGUUAAACAGUACGUGAAAUUGUUGAAAGGGAAACGCUUGAAGUCAGUCGCGUUGGCUAGGAAUCAGCCUUGCUUUUGCUUGGUGUACUUCCUUGUUGACGGGUCAGCAUCAAUUUUGACCGGUGGAAAAAGGCUAGUGGAAUGUGGCAUCUUCGGAUGUGUUAUAGCUGCUAGUUGUAUACAUCGGUUGGGAUUGAGGAACUCAGCACGCCGAAAGGUCGGGGUUUUGCCCACGUUCGUGCUUAGGAUGCUGGCAUAAUGGCUUUAAUCGACCCGUCUUGAAACACGGACCAAGGAGUCUAACAUGCCUGCGAGUGUUUGGGUGGAAAACCCGAGCGCGUAAUGAAAGUGAAAGUUGAGAUCCCUGUCGUGGGGAGCAUCGACGCCCGGACCAGACCUUUUGUGACGGAUCCGCGGUAGAGCAUGUAUGUUGGGACCCGAAAGAUGGUGAACUAUGCCUGAAUAGGGUGAAGCCAGAGGAAACUCUGGUGGAGGCUCGUAGCGAUUCUGACGUGCAAAUCGAUCGUCAAAUUUGGGUAUAGGGGCGAAAGACUAAUCGAACC